rnacentral:rRNA from 1 species
CUGAUUAAAUUAAAGAGCCGCAGUAUUUUGACUGUGCGAAGGUAGCAUAAUAAAUUGUCUUUUAAAUAAAGGCUUGAAUGAAAGGUUGGACAAAGUAUCAUCUGUUUCUUAAAUAUUUAUUGAAUUUGACUUUUAAGUGAAAAGGCUUAAAUAAAUCAAAAAGACGAUAAGACCCUAUAAAUCUUUACAAUAAAUAUAUUUUAUAUUUUAGCUUAUAAGUGUAUAAAAAAUAAAAAUAUAGGUUUGUUGCGCUGGGGCGGCGUAGAUAUAUAAAUAAACUGUCUAUAAUUUAAAUACAAUAAUCAUUGUUUAAUAUAAAUUGAUCCUUAAAUAGAUUAAAAGAUUAAGAUACUUUAGGGAUAACAGCGUUAUUUUUUUUGAGAGUUCUUAUCGAAGAAAAAGUUUGCGACCUCGAUGUUGAAUUAAAGUAUCUCUAUGGUGUAGCCGCUAUAAGAGAGAGUCUGUUCGACUUUUAAUACUUUACGUGAUCUGAGUUCAGACCGGA